rnacentral:rRNA from 1 species
UACGUAGGGCGCAAGCGUUGUCCGGAAUUAUUGGGCGUAAAGAGCUCGUAGGCGGUUUGUCGCGUCUGCCGUGAAAGUCCGGGGCUCAACUCCGGAUCUGCGGUGGGUACGGGCAGACUAGAGUGAUGUAGGGGAGACUGGAAUUCCUGGUGUAGCGGUGAAAUGCGUUGAGAUCGGAAGGAACGCCCGUGGCGAAAGCGAGUUCCUGGACGUCGGCUGACGCUGAGACGCGAAAGCCAGGGGAGCGAACGGG